rnacentral:rRNA from 1 species
AUUGAACGCUGGCGGCAUGCCUUACACAUGCAAGUCGAACGGCAGCGGACCUUCGGGUGCCGGCGAGUGGCGAACGGGUGAGUAAUGCAUCGGAACGUACCUUUCAGUGGGGGAUAACGUAGCGAAAGUUACGCUAAUACCGCAUAUUCUGUGAGCAGGAAAGCAGGGGAUCGCAAGACCUUGCGCUGAUUGAGCGGCCGAUGUCAGAUUAGCUCGUUGGUGAGGUAAAGGCUCACCAAGGCGACGAUCUGUAGCGGGUCUGAGAGGAUGAUCCGCCACACUGGGACUGAGACACGGCCCAGACUCCUACGGGAGGCAGCAGUGGGGAAUUUUGGACAAUGGGGGCAACCCUGAUCCAGCCAUGCCGCGUGAGUGAAGAAGGCCUUCGGGUUGUAAAGCUCUUUCGGCCGGGAAGAAAUCGCACAGGCUAAUACCUUGUGUGGAUGACGGUACCGGAAUAGGAAGCACCGGCUAACUACGUGCCAGCCGCCGCCGUAACAC